UACGGAGGGGGCUAGCGUUGUUCGGAAUGACUGGGCGUAAAGCGCGCGUAGGCGGAUCGGAAAGUUGGGGGUGAAAUCCCGGGGCUCAACCCUGGAAUUGCCUUCAAAACUCCCGGUCUUGAGUUCGAGAGAGGUGAGUGGAAUUCCGAGUGUAGAGGUGAAAUUCGUAGAUAUUCGGAGGAACACCAGUGGCGAAGGCGGCUCACUGGCCCAUUACUGACGCUGAGGCACGAAAGCGUGGGGAGCAAACAGG
rnacentral:rRNA from 1 species